rnacentral:rRNA from 1 species
ACCUGCAGUCCACGGUAACAGGUCUUCGGAUGCUGACGAGUGGCGAACGGGUGAGUAAUACAUCGGAACGUGCCCGAGAAGUGGGGGAUAACGGAGCGACAGCUUUGCUAAUACCGCAUACGAUCUACGGAUGAAAGCAGGGGACCGCAAGGCCUUGCGCUCAUGGAGCGGCCGAUGGCAGAUUAGGUAGUUGGUGGGAUAAAAGCUUACCAAGCCGACGAUCUGUAGCUGGUCUGAGAGGACGACAGCCACACCUGGGACUGAGACACCGCCCAGACUCCUACGGGAGGCAGCAGUGGGGAAUUUUGGACAAUGGGCGCAAGCCUGAUCCAGCCAUGCCGCGUGCAGGAUGAAGGCCUUCGGGUUGUAAACUGCUAUUGUACGGAACGAAAAGCCUCGGGCUAAUUUACCUGGGGUCAUGACGGUACCGUAAGAAUAAGCACCGGCUAACUACGUGCCAGCAGCCGCGGUAAUACGUAGGGGCAAGCGUUAAUCGGAAUUACUGGGCGUAAAGCGCGCGCCAGGCGGUAAUGUAAGACAGAUGUGAAAUCCCCGGGCACAACCUGGGAACUGCAUUUGUGACUGCAUUGCUGGAGUACGGCAGAGGGGGAUGGAAUUCCGCGUGUAGCAGUGAAAUGCGUAGAUAUGCGGAGGAACACCGAUGGCGAAGGCAAUCCC